rnacentral:tRNA from 1 species
GUCAGGGUGGCCGAAAGGUCCAAGACAUCAAACUCAACAGUAAUCUACUAAGUGUUCUGGUCCACGAAUAUGGGCGUGGGUUCGAAUCCCACCUCUGACA